rnacentral:lncRNA from 1 species
GCUUUCUUCCCUUUGUUUUUCAAUGGUUAAAUUUGUUUAUCUUUGUUUUGUAAUAAUGAGGAACUAAACCCCCCCUUGGCUAGGGGGGGAUUCGAAACCAUGUUAAUGUUUGCAAUAUGAUUUGAUUACUUUUAAUUGCGUUUCAUAAGUUAUGAAUUCGAUUUACUUAUCUAUUUGAUUGAUAACAUGUUUAUGUAUGUUGAUUAGGGAUGCAUACUUUGUUUGCAUGCAUAAAUAUGAUGCUAGAGUAUAAGGGAAUUUCACCUAAUCGUUAUGAACUUAUAUUCAUAAGUAGUAAAAGUCGCUAGUC